UGGGGAAUAUUGGACAAUGGGCGCAAGCCUGAUCCAGCAAUGCCGCGUGUGUGAAGAAGGCCUUCGGGUUGUAAAGCACUUUUAUCAGGAGCGAAACGCUGUCGGCUAAUACCCGGCGGAACUGACGGUACCUGAGGAAUAAGCACCGGCUAACUUCGUGCCAGCAGCCGCGGUAAUACGAAGGGUGCAAGCGUUAAUCGGAAUUACUGGGCGUAAAGCGUGCGUAGGCGGUUUCUUAAGUCUGCUGUGAAAUCCCCGGGCUCAACCUGGGAAUGGCAGUGGAUACUGGGAGGCUAGAGUGUGUCAGAGGGUGGUGGAAUUCCCGGUGUAGCGGUGAAAUGCGUAGAGAUCGGGAGGAACAUCAGUGGCGAAGGCGGCCACCUGGGACAACACUGACGCUGAGGCACGAAAGCGUGGGGAGCAAACAGGAUUAGAUACCCUGGUAGUCCACGCCCUAAACGAUGCGAACUGGAUGUUGGUCUCAACUCGGAGAUCAGUGUCGAAGCUAACGCGUUAAGUUCGCCGCCCUGGGGAGUACGGUCGCAAGACUGAAACUUAAAUGAAUUGAC
rnacentral:rRNA from 1 species